rnacentral:lncRNA from 1 species
GAGUUUUGAGAUAAGAAAUGAGCUUAUAGAAUAACGUAUCUGGGUCCCCCUUUUAUAGGCGGAGGAAGCAACGGAUUGAUGGCGAUGUUUGUAACCGUCUGGCAGCGGACUGCCCAGGGUCAGGCGGAGUUUGCUGCGAAGUGUAGUGGAACGGACCCGUGGCUAUCGCUGGGGCGUGCCACGUGGAGUCUGCCGCGUGAAGUGGGGCGGCGUUUGUCGUCGUGACUUGCCAGUGGAUGGGAGAAUCGUGCAGUAUCUGUUGCAGGAGGUGGAGCAGGAU